rnacentral:rRNA from 1 species
AUGGGGAACCGGGUCGGGGGGCGGCGGCGGCGGUCGCCGGUGGACGAGCGCUACACGGCGCCGCAGGGGCUCUACCCGCACCCGGACAUCGACCUCAAGAAGCUGCGCCGCCUCAUCCUCGAGGCCAAGCUCGCGCCCUGCCACCCGGGCGCCGACGACCCCAGGCCAGACCUCGACGAGUGCCCAAUCUGCUUCCUGGUCAGUCCGUUUAUCACCCCUUUCCCAAUCUCUGCUCAGCUUCUUCUUCUUCCGCUAUCCACUUGGAUCCAUCAUAGAUGCAGAAUUCUGACUCGAGCUUCUCCCCCCCUCCCGCGCCUGCAGUUUUAUCCAAGCCUCAACCGCUCCAAGUGCUGCGCCAAGGGGAUUUGCACCGAGUGCUUCCUCCAGAUGAAGUCUCCCACCUCCUGCCGGCCAACACAGUGUCCGUACUGCAAGAUGCUGAAUUACGCCGUGGAGUACCGCGGCGUCAAGACCAAGGAGGAGAAGGGCGUCGAGCAGAUUGAGGAGCAGAGGGUGAUUGAGGCGCAGAUCAGGAUGCGGCAUCAGGAGCUCCAGGACGACGCUGAGCGGCUCAAGAACAAGCAGGUUGCUGCUUCGACCGAUGAAGUAACAAUCGCACAAGUCGAACCUUGUGAUACUGGUGGCACAUCCACCCCAGCUGCAAGCGGUGCCCAAGGCAAUGAUGCCGUCUCAGGUCAAGUACAGCAUUCGGAGCUGCUAUUGAAGAAUGCUGAACGCUUGAGGCAGUUGCGGGAUAAUAAUUUCGACAUGGAUCUUGAAGAAGUUAUGCUUAUGGAAGCGAUUUGGCUUUCUGUACAAGAUCAGGAAGCCUUAGGAAAUCCAGGGAGCAUAGGUGCCGUGCCACCAACACUUCCUCCAAGAUGCUACGAUGCAUCCGGGGCCGCUUCAGCAGAAGCAGCUCCACCCGGUGGAUUCGCCUGCGCGGUCGCGGCUCUAGCGGAGCAACAACACAUGCUUGGAGACCCUUCCAGCGCUGCCACCUGCCAAACAUCAAGACACGACAUCCUCAGCAGGUCACAAAGGUCCUUCACAGAGGACCUGAGCAUAGCCGGGAGCAGUUCCUCGGCCACCAGGGUCGAGGAACCACCAAACGGCAGAACGCCGCAGUCAAGAGACGGCGCGGACUACUCCAACAACGACGGGUGGUCGGAGGCGGCCGAGGCCAGCACCAGCUGCGCCGGCUCCGACAUCACGGUAGAGGCCGGGGCCGCCAGUUUGGCGGCUGCUGCUUCGGACGUGUCUAGCAUCGGUUCGGGCAACGUGCCCGACAGCUUUGAGGAGCAGAUGAUGCUGGCCAUGGCGCUCUCGCUGGUCGACGCCCGGGGGGUCGGAGGCUCUCCUCCAGGGCUAGCUUGGCGGUAG